CACCGGUUUCCCAUACUCCAAUUCUCAAUUCUCACCUGUGGAGUGAGCCAGAUUGAUAAAAGUUAUAAAAGCUGACAUAUAACAGGCUUAGUACUAUAGAGGAGGAACUUCAAAAUAUGAAUUUGGGGCCCUAUAAAGGAUAGCUGUAUGGAAGCUCUCCUCUCUUCCAGGAAAAGGAAGAUAUAUCUUAUCUCCUUAAUUUAACCAAAUUCUCCUUGGUAAGGAUCCUAGACUUUUAUCCUUUGGAAUGUUUUAUGUCUUUAGUGGGAAGACAAGACUUGUACCUCCAGAUUUACAGCCCAGAGCUGUCUCCCUAGUCUUCAUUCUCAUCCCCCUUGAACUGUGCCUAGUAGAGAUGUAACCAUCUGUGUUAUGGACUGAAUUGUGUCUUUCCAAAAUUCUUAUGUUUAAGUACUAACUUCCAAUAUAACUGUAUUUAGAGAUAGGGCCUUUCAAUUCAGUUCAGUUCAGUUCAGUUGCUCAGUCGUGUCUGACUCUUUGGGACCCCAUGGACUGCAGCACACCAGGCAUCCCUGUCCAUCACUGACUCCCAGAGCUUGGGCCUUUACAGAAGCAAAUAAGGUUGUUAAGUCAUUAGGGUGGGUGUCUUAAUCAACAGAACUGGUGUCCUUGUAAGAGGAAGAGACAUCUGGGAUGUUUACACACAGAGGAAAGGUCAUGUGAAGACAGCAAGAAGGUGGCAGUUUCCAAAACAAGGAGGGACUGGAGAAACCAAACCUACCAUCAUCUUCAUCUUAGACUUCCAGCCUCCACAACUGUGAGAAAAUUAAUUUCCUUUGUUUAAGCCUGUGAAAGUGAAAGUGAAGUCGCUCAGUCGUGUCCGACUCUUUGCGACCCCAUGGACUGUAACCUACCAGGCUCUGCAGUCCAUGGGAUUUUCCAGGCAAGAAUACUGGAAAUGCUGCCAUUUCCUUCUCCAGGGUGUCUUCCCCACGCAGGGAUCAAACCCAGGUCUCCUGCAUUGCAGAUAGACGCUUUAUGGUCUGAGCCACUAGUUAAGCCUGUAGUCCACAGUAUUUUGUUAAGGCAGCCCUAGCAAACUAAUACAUUCUGGAUGGUUUCUCACUAUCUGUUCAGUCACAAUUUAACUUUCAUGACUUCUCUUCUCAGUCCCAAGUCUGAG
ensembl:lncRNA